AUAAGAGUGGUGUGUGUCAGGGGCUACAUAGCAUUGUGAUAUUUCUACUCGUCAUGUUCUAAUCCACAUUAAGUUUAUUACCUGACUUUUAUAUCGGGAGGUGGAGGAGGAGUGCAAGGCUGCGUUUAACCAUUUAACUGACGCUGGAGGGCAGGUGGACCGUCAUAAAUUGGAAGCUUAAUGGCUGCUGACCAAGCUGCUGGAUUUGAGGAGUCGUGAGCGAGAACAUAAACUUACAAGUUUCAACACAUCCAUGGUUUUGCCGAAAUGUGCCGUCAUUCACCCCGUGAAACGCCGGAGAAAGCGUCGGUAGCCGAGACUUCUGAAGGGAUUCUGAAUAAAUAAGCUGGACGUGCAUUCAGGCUUUGUGGUGUCAUUGACGGUGCGCAAUCACUUUUGAAUCACAAUGAAAAUAA